rnacentral:lncRNA from 1 species
UCUCCACUGGUAACCUCCACUGGUAUAUCUCCACUGGUAUAUCUCCACUGGUAUAUCUCCACUGGUAUAUCUCCACUGGUAUAUCUCCACUGGUAACCUCCACUGGUAUAUCUCCACUGGUAUAUCUCCACUGGUAUAUCUCCAUGGAUAUCUCCACUGGUAUAUCUCCAUGGUACCUCCACUGGUAUAUCUCCCUGGUAUAUCU